rnacentral:rRNA from 1 species
AGGUAGCGCAAUCACUUGUCUUUUAAAUGAAGACCUGUAUGAAUGGCACAACGAGGGCUUAACUGUCUCCUUCUCCCGGUCAAUGAAAUUGAUCUCUCCGUGCAGAAGCGGAGUUAACACUAUAAGACGAGAAGACCCCAUGGAGCUUAAGACACUAGGUGCCCCCUUUUAAACAGGCCUUCCUCCUGAACUUGAAACUACGGUCCUCCACCCUACUUGUCUUCGGUUGGGGCGACCACGGAGGAAAAACCAGCCUCCCAGUGGAGCGGGAGU